AGCUCUCUUUUCCGCAGUUACAGUGGGGUCACACAUUCUGACGGCUGCUACUUGUCAGAUAUGGUGACCUCUGAGGUACUGGCUCUGUGAUGCCUC